CAGCCGCCACGGUAAUACGAAGGGUGCAAGCGUUACUCGGAAUUACUGGGCGUAAAGCGUGUGUAGGUGGUUGUUUAAGUCUGUCGUGAAAGCCCUGGGCUCAACCUGGGAAUUGCGAUGGAUACUGGGCGACUAGAGUGCGGUAGAGGAUAGUGGAAUUUCCGGUGUAGCAGUGAAAUGCGUAGAGAUCGGAAGGAACAUCUGUGGCGAAGGCGACUAUCUGGGCCAAUACUGACGCUCAUGCACGAAAGCGUGGGGAGCAAACAGGAUUAGAUACCCCUGUAGUCCCUGUCUCUUAUAC
rnacentral:rRNA from 1 species